UCGAUUAUUAUUGUAUUACAACUAAAGCACAAUUAUUUAAGAAUAAUAAUAGAGAAAUAUGAAUGUCCGCAAUAUAAAAAGUUUAAGAGGGUUAUGUUUGCCACGGCUUUACUCUACACAAGACAUUGCGUCCCAAAAAUCAGUUGUCAGUGGUAACAACUGUUCUAAAUCAAAUAACUUAAAAAUGGCUGGGUGGCAAAUUCACAACUAUGGAAAGACCGAGGAAUUACAAUAUUCGACGCGUCUGAGAAUGCCUGCAAUUAAGAGUUCAUCUGAUUGCUUAGUACGUGUCAAUGCUACAACAGUUAACCCUAUUGAUGUUGCAAUGCUAGGAGGAUAUGGUUCAAAAACUUUAAAUUUGUUGCGAUGUCAGUAUUCAAAGGCGAUAGAGUUUCCUUUAAUUCUUGGCCGCGAAUUUAGUGGUGAAGUUGUUCAAUGUGGAAUGGGGGCCAAUAAUAAAUUUGCUGCGGGCGACAGAGUUUAUGGCGUUAUACCGUUACAUAUAAAUGGAUCGCAUGCCCAAUAUGUUGUUGUGCCGGAUUAUUGUUUGUCAAUUGCACCAACUUCCUUAUCAAUUGAGCAAGCUGCGUCAGUCCUUUAUGCUGGUCUUACGGCAUGGUCGGGCCUAUAUGUUACCGGACGUUUAGGAAACAUUUGUGGAGCAGUCUCCAGUUCUGGUGGAGGAGAAAAUCGUCGUAUAUUAGUAAUGGGUGGCUCUGGUAGCGUUGGGUCACUUGCAAUACAACUACUUAAAUCUCAAAAGGCUACUGUUAUAUCAACAUGUAGUGAAAAUGCCAUUGAACUUGUAAAAAAUUUGGGAGCGGAUUAUGUGAUAGAUUAUAAAAACCAAACUCAGUUCGAGAAGUUGCGGAAUUAUGCACCUUUCGACAUUGUGUUAGAUUGCGCUGGCCAAGGAACUGAUAUAGCAAAUAAGCUAAAUUUCAAUUUUGGUCAGUAUAUAACGUUUUCUUCCCCUUUGUUGAUGAAUGUUGACAAGUUUGGCUUAAGUUUCGGAAUGAUGAAAAAUAUUACACAUUUUAUUGAAACCAAUGCGAAAUCGUUAUCCGGAAAGGGAUCUUUAUUAAAAUAUGGAUUCUUUAUGCCAGCACAACAAGGAAUUGAACUUCUAACACAUUUGGUGAAAAAAAAUCAGUUAUUGCCGCUAAUUGAUAGCACUUUCACUUUUAAGGAGUUGCCUCGUGCUUUUGAGAAGGUGAAAAGUGGCCAUUUACGAGGAAAAGUUGUAAUAACAUUGUCAUAAUUCACUAAUAAAAUAUUCAGGAUGUUUUGCUCUUAUUUAAAUGGAACCAAUGAAGAUAGCGGAAUAAACCUUUACUCAAAUAGUGCAUAUCAUCUCUGCCUUCACUUGUGGAAAAAUUGUCGAAAGCGGACUAUAACUUUUCAAGGCCCCAGAUAUCGAACAUGUUGAACUCAGCGCCUAAGGAUACAUUUUAACCGGAAAUAUGGGCAAAACUGCGGAGCAAUGGUUUCGACGAUUCAGAGCGGGUGAAAACGACACCAUGGAUAAGCCAGCCGGUGGAAGACCCAUGACGACGAAUACCGAUCAAAUCAUGGAAAACAUCGAGUUAGACCGUCAUGUGGCAUAUUGUGACAUCGCCCAGGAGAUGGGAGUUAGUCAACAAACCAUUUUAAACCAUCUGGAUACACAAAAAAGCUUGAUAGAUAUUUGACAACCAAUAUUUAUCUUUGUUGUUUAUAACCAGUUUCUUUCUUAUUUCUUUCUCCAGCCUACCUAUAUUUUUAUGGUUAAAAUAUCCCGUUUUGAAACGGACGCUCACA